GCACGCCUGCCGACCGAGAAGGAGGGGGGAGGCUCAGCUUUAGGGUAGUUGGUGCACAGAACAGGCACAGGUGGGGCUAACAGCAAGUUUUCAUGCUGCCUUUCAGCUUCACUCCACACAGUCUCAGGAUCCCUAAACACACAGGUCCUCUCCCCCAGUGUGAUUCGCCUCGUGGGCCACACAGAGAACGAAGGGAGUGACCGAGGGCAGGAGGCAGUAGAAGGCGCAGACUGCAGACCCAGGAAUGCUGAGGGGGCCAGAAAAGAUGCAAGGUAGAUGUUGACAGGGACUGCACAGCUCCUGCCAGGUAAGAAGUGAUAGCCGCCCUUUGUGCACCACGUUAGAGGCAGAGACCAGUGGGAGGGGCAGCCUCGGGAGAAAGGGUGGCCGGCCAGGACAGCAAAGUGGCCUUGCUUGGAGCUCCUCCUCAGUAGGCAUUAAGAGGGAGUUUGGAUACUGGGGAAAGGGGUGGCACUAGGUCACAUAAUCCACCUGGUACCAACCUAUUGGUCUGAGUAGUGAAGACCCCAAAGAGGGCAGAGCGCCCAUGCAGGUUCACAGGCCCAGUUAAGGACUGUAAGACAUCAAAGUAGAAGGUAGAGUCCCCAGGGACGGAGCAGUUGAGCCUCAGCUUAAGGAAGGAUGUCCAGUGGCGAUCCAAGGCCCGUGGUGAGCCACCCAUGUCACGUUUACACACCCGGGCCACCCGGGAAAACUGCACCUGGAGGAGAUGGUGAGAGCCCCAGGUCAGCUGGUUGAGAUGCACAGUGUGACUUAGGAGCUCCAAGAGACAGAUAUCAGGGUCACAGCAAAGAACAGAAAUGAUAUAGCAGGCCCUUCUAGGUCAAGGUAAGAGCUGGAGAUGCAGCGUUGUGUGGGGAGGAGUCAAGAUUCCAAGGAAUUUGUUUUCAAAAUUAGGGCCAAGAACUUUCCUUAGGACUCAGAAGAACUGUCCAGCAAUCCAUCCCUGGUACCCAGCUCCUUACCCUCCCCAGGCGGGCGUCCUCCACAGAGACUUCUCGGAAGAAGAAGUAGACAUGGUCUCCAUGCUCCAAAGCAUAGACAAAGUGUGGCUCUGAGGUAGGAAGACAGGGAAGGGCAUCUAUACCUGCUCAGAGACUCAUACCCACACAUCCUAGUGUAUCCUCUCCAGGCACAGUCUAGCUCCCAGGAUGACUGACCUCGAAGCCACUUGGAGUCAUACUUUGCAGAACGGAGUGGGGGCUGAGGUCCAAGGCUUCUGUAAACCACAGCAUCACUGGCCUGGAAAUCUGCUGCUGUGGCUGAGUACAAACUACCCUCUGGAGAGACGAGGGAGUGGGGUCACAGAAAGCUCAGGAUCUGCAGCUUGUCUCCUACUGGCCUACCCGUCUAUCUACCUAGGCAUGGUCCCAGCCCCUAUCUCAACCCUCCACCCAGGGACAUGGGGGAGAGGCCAGGGUGGGAGAGGAACUCCCUCCAGCCCCUCACAUGCCUGCCUCUCGAAUGCCCAGGUGCACACCUGCAGAGAUGGCCACAGUGGACUGGGUGGCAUCAAAGGGGCAUCGAGCUUGCCCACUCAGCUCCUCACCCUCCUGUUGCAGAGAUGUUAUCUGGGGACAGAGGAAGCAGAGUCCUGGAGGUUUUAGAGUCUGGCCCUACAGGGCACAGGCACCCACCUCCUCCUCCAGCCCCUCUCACUCUAGUAUCCCACGCCUGCCCAUCCCCAGAUGCCCAGCCCUUCCCAUCAAACUGAAAGCUUAUUGGAUUCCCCUCCCAGUCCUCUUCCUCAGUACCCCAUAGCUGCGACACACAGGGCUGAAGGAAUUUGUUCCACAGGCAAGGAGUGUCUGCGAGUCCCAGGGAACAAGAACACGGAUGUAGUUGUAGCAUUCGUCCUAGAGAACCCAAAAUUCUAGGUCAGUGACAGGCCCGGAACUGACGUUAGGGGUUACAGGAAGUAGUGAGAGUAGUGUGGCUAAGUCUCAGGCUGUCGACUGUCGUUUAGCUUGCAGCAAGCUCCCUGGUCUCUCUGAACCUCCCUUUCCUUUUUCCUGGGACGUGCAAAGGGAACUGAAAAGGAUGAAUUCUCUUCCCUUUGUCUGCACUAGGGUGGAAGGGAGUGAGAAGUAGUCCUGGCAGCCUACUACCUGAAGGCAGCUCUCGCCUUCCCUCCAACUCUAUUCCACUCCUCACCGUCAGCUUUCCCCGGACAGCACAAUUCUCCAUGUCUUGGCUCCGCCAUGUCAGAAACUGCAGGAAGAAGAGAGGUCAUGUGGCAAUCUGGACCCCUCCUCACAUUAUGACUCCUUCUCAGCCCCCAGGACCCCCGUUAUGCCUUUCCCAGCUUUGGCUCCCUGCCUGCACCUCCUCGCAUACAGCCCCUCACCUUGUUGGGCACCAGCCCCUCCCCUUCUUCUUGGGCUUGAAGAUCGAAGGAGAAAACGUGAUCCCUGAAGGGUAGGUAAGGAGGGGUCAGAGCUGAGCAGAGGCACCCUGCCUGAGCUCCUUAGCCCCUCCUUACCCAUGUUCACCAGCUCAGGGCCAAGCCACAUAAAGUCCUGCGCCCUAGCCUCCCCCUUACUCCACGCCUUGGCAUUUGUUCUCUGGGUCCAAGCAUGUCCAUGUCCCAUGGCUUGUGCACCUGCAUGUGUCCCCUGCAAGAUGCUGCAGUGGCCAUGCAGGUCCCAUGUCUGCCCAGGAGCAUGCAUGUCUGCCCCAAAACGGUGCCUCGGCCAUUUUACCGGGCAGCCACAAGCAAGGUCCGGUUCAAGGUCAGGAAUCUCUGAAAGUCCAGCCCAAGUUCCGCAGCCACAGCAUCGUCCUCCAGGCCCCGGAACCAGGAUGACGGAGAGGUACCUGGAGGUGCAGCGGUGUACUGAGGAUGGCAGCUGAGACAACACACUUCCUACCAGAUGGAGCCCAGCCACAGAGAGGCCCAAAAUCUACUACUAAAAACAGUACCAGUAGCUAGGCAUAAUGGUACACAGCAGCACUGGGAAAGGCUGAGGCAGGAGGACUGCUGAGAGUUUAAGGCCAGUCUUGGUUACAUAGCAAGUAAAGGCAAGAUGCUAUCUCAAAUUAGAAAGAAAGAAAGAAAGAAAGAAAGAAAGAAAGAAAGAAAGAAAGAAAGAAAGAAAGGAAGGAAGGAAGGAAGGAAGAAAGGAAGGAAGACAGAAAGAAAGAAAGAAAGAAAGGAAGGAAGAAAGAAAGAAAGACAGACAGAAAGGAAGAAAGGAAGAAAGAAGAAAGAAAGGAAGAAAGAAAGAAAGACAGACAGACAGAAAGGAAGAAAGGAAGAAAGAAAGAAAGACAGAAAGAAAGAAAGAAAGAAAAAGAAAGGAAGGAAGAAAGGAAGGAAGAAAGGAAGGAAGAAAGGAAG